AGGUAUUUAGUUUAAUAAAAACACUUGAUUUCGGCUCAAAUACUUAUGGUUAAAACCCAUAACUGCCUU
rnacentral:tRNA from 1 species